rnacentral:rRNA from 1 species
UUAUCACUGCUGUCCCCGGCACCGCAGCUCCCGGCGCCGUCAUUACCAGAGCACCCGGCACCACAGCCUUCAUCACUGCUGUCCCCGGCACCGCAGCCGCCGCCUUCUUAUACUGGUACUGCUACCAAAGGGAUGGAUCCUGCAGUCUACGUCAUGAUGAAAGCCAUGCUGUCGGCGAACAAGGUGAAAUCCGAGCCGGACGGCAACAGGACGGGGUCGUCGCCGUUGCCUGGGAAGAAGAGGAAAUUGGACGAAGCAUACGGUGACGACGGCCCGCCUUCUUAUGUGCUGCCAAACACUCCCCAUGACAGCUCCGACGGCCGGCCUGGUGGGUUCUCCCGGAGCCGGAAGAUGCGGCAUAUUACCAGCGGACACGACGGCGACAGCACGGACUGGGAAGCCGCACGGGAGAGGCUGCAGGGCGUCGUCCCUCCGCAGCUGGAGUGCGUGUUUGCGGCGACCGAGCCCUCCGACAUCGUCAAGUCCACCUACGUCGCUCUUCUUCAGGCAGCGAACCACGCAUCCUUCUCCUUGUCCUACGCGCUGGAGCUGGACACGGAGAACGCUGCACUGCGGAUGCAGCUGCAGAAGACGGAGGCCAAGCUCACCGCGGCGGAGGCGGAGGUGGAGAAGGUGAAGGCCGAG